rnacentral:snRNA from 1 species
UUGCUUGCUUCAGCAGCACAUAUACUAAAAUUGGAUUGAUACAGAAAAGAUUAGCAUGGCCUCUGCACAAGGAUGACAUAAAUUCGUGAAGCGUUCCAUAUUUAA